CUUAGAUUUGCUAUAAAGAAAUACCUAAGGCUGGGUAAUUUACAAGGAAAAGAGGUUUAUUUGGCACACAGUUCUGCAGGCUGUACAAGAGGCUUGGCACCAGCAUCUACUUCUGGUAAGGGCUUCAGGCUGCUUCCCCUCAUGUCAGAAGUUAAAGAGGAGCUGGCAUGCACAGAGAUCACAUGACGAGAGAGGAAGCAGAGAAAGCAAGCGGAGUUGGGGUUUGCACCAGGCUAUUUUUAACAACCAGCUCUCAUGAGAACUAAUAGAAUGAGAACUCACUUACCCCCUCACCCCCAGGGAGAGG
rnacentral:lncRNA from 1 species